rnacentral:rRNA from 1 species
CCUACGGGAGGCAGCAGUGAGGAAUAUUGGACAAUGGGCGCAAGCCUGAUCCAGCCAUGCCGCGUGCAGGAAGAAGCAUCUAUGGUGUGUAAACUGCUUUUGUACAGGAAGAAACACUCCCUCGUGAGGGAGCUUGACGGUACUGUAAGAAUAAGGACCGGCUAACUCCGUGCCAGCAGCCGCGGUAAUACGGAGGGUCCGAGCGUUAUCCGGAAUCAUUGGGUUUAAAGGGUCCGUAGGCGGUUUAAUAAGUCAGUGGUGAAAUCUGGUCGCUCAACGAUCAAACGGCCAUUGAUACUGUUAGACUUGAAUUAUAAGGAAGUAACUAGAAUAUGUAGUGUAGCGGUGAAAUGCUUAGAUAUUACAUGGAAUACCAAUUGCGAAGGCAGGUUACUACUUAUGGAUUGACGCUGAUGGACGAAAGCGUGGGGAGCGAACAGGAUUAGAUACCCUGGUAGUCCACGACGUAACGAUAGAUACUAGCUGUUCGGUAGACGAUACUGUAGUGGUCGUAGACGAAGUAGAGUAAGUA